rfam:Loxodonta africana unplaced genomic scaffold scaffold_30, whole genome shotgun sequence.
AAACUGGCUUUUUUCAAAGCCAUCUCUUACUCUGAGCCCUACUCAA